AUUGAACGCUGGCGGCAGGCCUAACACAUGCAAGUCGAGCGGAGCGGCGGACGGGUGAGUAAUGCCUAGGAAUCUGCCUGGUAGUGGGGGAUAACGUCCGGAAACGGGCGCUAAUACAGCAUACUAUCAGAUGAGACUAGGUCGGAUUAGAUAGUUGGUGGGGUAAAGGCCUACCCAGUCGACGAUCCGUAACUCGUCUGUGGUGUAGAUCAGUCACACUGGAACUGAGACACGGUCCAGAAGCCUACGGGAGGCAGCAGUGGGGAAGAUUAGACAAUGGGCGAAAGCCUGAUCCAGCCAUGCCGCGUGUGUGAAGAAGGUCUUCGGAUUGUAAAGCACUUUAAGUUGGGAGGCGUUACCAACAGAAUAAGCACCGGCUAACUUCGUGCCAGCAGCCGCGGUAAUUC
rnacentral:rRNA from 1 species